ACGCUGGCGGCGUGGAUUAGGCAUGCAAGUCGAACGGUAUCAUCCUUCGGGGGUGAGAGAGUGGCGAACUGGUGAGUAACACGUAGGUUAUCUACCCUCAAGACGGGGACAACCCAGGGAAACUUGGGCUAAUACCGGAUGUGAGCAACUUUUAGUGUUUGAAAGGUGGCGUAAGCUGUCGCUUGGGGAUGAGCCUGCGUCCUAUUAGUUAGUUGGUGAGGUAACGGCUCACCUAGGCAAUGAUAGGUAGGCGGCCUUAACGGGUGGUCGCCCACACUGGGAUUGAGAUACGGCCCAGACUCCUACGGGAGGCAGCAGUCGAGAAUAGUCUACAAUGGUCGGAAGACUGAUAGUGCGACGCCGCGUGAACGAUGAAUCCCUUCGGGGUGUAAAGUUCUUUUAUAUGUGAGCAGUGCUUCUUAUAUUAACAGUAUAGGGAGAGAGAUAUUAGCAUAUGAAUAAGCAACGGCUAACUCCGUG
rnacentral:rRNA from 1 species